rnacentral:sRNA from 1 species
GGCUAAAGGCACAAACCACCAUGCCCUGCUAAUUAAAAAAAAUUUUUUGUGGAGAAAGCAUCUCACUAUGUUGGCCAAGGUACUCUCACCUCCGCCUCCCAAAGCACUGGGAUUACAGGCGUGAGCUACUGUGCCCAGCCUUCCCCAUCUCUUUUGAAGGGUAGCUAAGUGAUAUUAAUGCUUGUGUUCCCUAAUAUGUUCACUUUGCUAAAUUCAGAAUAGGCUGGACUUUUAAAAAGCAGAGAGAGAUACUUUUUUUUUUUUUUGAGACCAAGUUUCGCUCUUGUUGCCCAGGCUAAAGUGCAGCGGCGCAAUCUUGGCUCACCGCAACCUCCACUUCCCGGGUUCAAGCGAUUCUCCUGCCUCAGCCUUCCUGAGUAGCUGAGAUUACGGGCAUGCGCCACCAUGCCCAGCUGAUUUUGUAUUUUUAGUAGAGAUGGGGUUUCUCCAUGUUGGUCAGGCUGGUCUUGAACCCCUGACCUCAGAUGAUCUGCCCGCCUUGGCCUCCCAAAGUGCUGGGAUUACAGGCAUGAGCCACCGUGCCUAGCCAAGAGAUAUUUUCAUACUUUUUCUUUACUGCACUGAUAAGAAUAUGCCACUUCUUUUAGAAUAUAUUUUGUGGAAUUAUAAAAAUUUCUUUAUCAGAUAGAGUUAUGGAUGACUGCCCUUUUCAAUGUAAUUCCCACUCAACCUCAAAAUAAUGCAAAUACUUUCAAAAGGAGAAGAAUAUGGUUGGUUAUGCACAGGGGAAUACUAUAUAACAGGGAGAGGAAAAAGAUUAAGCAGCAUGAGUAUUGAAAUUGCACUGCAGCAGCUUUACAUGUCAGGGUUAAGAAAUUACAGGAGAAUUUGGGUGCUGAAAGGGUCUUUUUGGUGACGUUGGCAGCUAAUAAAACGAAUUUGUGUGGUCUUCCACAUGCCCUAGGCAGCUGUUCACUUUGCUGGCUCCAACUAAGAUACUUUCCUUUCUUAUAGGAUAAAAACUGGAUAUGCAUCUAAAAUAAGAUAUAAGUCACUGAAGAUUUUUAGAAGACCAAGGAAACUGUUCAUGCAAACAGUUUCUUCAGAUGAUUCUGAAUCAUAUAUGAGUGAAGAAAAAAAGGAAGAAGAUUUACUAAAUAAGUUUAUGCAAUCAAUGUCAAUUGAAGAACAGGGAGAACAUCUGAUGUUAACUUGACAGUCUUGUCUCGUGUAUUGAAUUCGUGCCAAAGGUGAGGGUAAGGGGUUGUGAGUUGUGUCCUGUUAUGUUUAGGAUGGUAUUGUUAUUUAUUAAAUCAUUAAGUAAUUUUGGUUUGUUCAGAAACUUAAAACAAUGUAAUUGGUCUGAUGUAGUUCCAUGUACCAAUGAUAGUUAUGUAAGAAAAUUUACAUGUAACAUAUACUUGUACUU